rnacentral:rRNA from 1 species
AGAGCGAACGCUGGCGGCAGGCCUAAUACAUGCAAGUCGAACGGACCCUUCGGGGUUAGUGGCGGACGGGUGAGUAACACGUGGGAACGUGCCCUUUGGUUCGGAACAACUCAGGGAAACUUGAGCUAAUACCGAAUGUGCCCCCAUCCUUAAACAAGAUGGGUGGGAAAGAUUUAUCGCCAUUGGAGCGGCCCGCGUCUGAUUAGCUAGUUGGUGGGGUAAAGGCUCACCAAGGCGACGAUCAGUAGCUGGUCUGAGAGGAUGAUCAGCCACACUGGGACUGAGACACGGCCCAGACUCCUACGGGAGGCAGCAGUAGGGAAUCUUGCGCAAGUGGGCGAAAGCCUGACGCAGCCAUGCCGCGUGAAUGAUGAAGGUCUUAGGAUUGUAAAAUUCUUUCAGCGGGACGAUAAUGACGGUACCCGCAGAAGAACGCCCGGCUAACUUCGCGCCAGCAGCCGC